rnacentral:snRNA from 1 species
GUGCUUGCUUUGGCAGCACAGAUACUAAAAUUGGAACGAUACAGAGAAGAUUAGCAUGGCCUCUGUGCAAGGAUGACAUGCAAAUUCAUAACAUGCAAAAUUCCAUAUUUUG